rnacentral:sRNA from 1 species
UUCUUAAAUCCAACUAAAUGUCUAAUACUAUAACAAAUAUAGUAGGAGAUCACCAAUGAUGGAAAUAAGCUUUUAAAACAUC